rnacentral:rRNA from 1 species
UACGUAGGUGGCAAGCGUUGUCCGGAAUUAUUGGGCGUAAAGCGCGCGCAGGUGGUCCUUUAAGUCUGAUGUGAAAGCCCACGGCUCAACCGUGGAGGGUCAUUGGAAACUGGGGGACUUGAGUGCAGAAGAGGAUAGUGGAAUUCCAAGUGUAGCGGUGAAAUGCGUAGAUAUCGAGAGGAACACCUGCGGCGAAGGCGGGUUGCUGGGCUGACACUGACGCUGAUGCGCGAAAGCCAGGGGAGCGAACGGG